UAGCUCAGUGGUACAGCGUCUGCCUGGCAAGCAGGAGGUCCUGAGUUCUAUUCCCAG
rfam:Fukomys damarensis contig88922, whole genome shotgun sequence.